UACGAAGGGGGCUAGCGUUGUUCGGAUUUACUGGGCGUAAAGCGCACGUAGGCGGAUAUUUAAGUCAGAGGUGAAAUCCCAGGGCUCAACCCUGGAACUGCCUUUGAUACUGGAUAUCUUGAGUAUGGAAGAGGUGAGUGGAAUUCCGAGUGUAGAGGUAAAAUUCGUAGAUAUUCGGAGGAACACCAGUGGCGAAGGCGGCUCACUGGUCCAUUACUGACGCUGAGGUGCGAAAGCGUGGGGAGCAAACA
rnacentral:rRNA from 1 species